rnacentral:lncRNA from 1 species
ACUGGGAAGCGCAAACUCAACGGGGCAACCUUCAGUCCAUGCCAUCAGCUUCCGGGUCUGUGCCAAUCAGCACAGUACAGAAGCCAGACCCGCGGGGAGACCCCCGAGGAGGUGGGCGGGGCCUGGGUCAGGCCAGACGGGAGGCGAAGAGGUGGGCGGGGCCUGAGUCAACCAAAAUACUACUGGAACUAAUCAACACAUUCAGUGGAUUUGCACAAUGCAAUAGCAGCACCAAAAAUUAAUUGAAUUUCCAUAAACAAUAAAAAAUUUAAACGAAAAUUAAAAAACACUUCCAUUUGCUAGAGAUCUUAAAGUAAGAAAUACUUAGGAAUAAACAUAAAAAAACUGAGAAUUUCACACCUUGAAAUCUACAAACAUUAACCAAAAUGAUUAAAAACAUAUAUAUACAACCCACAUUGAUGGUUUGGAAAAAUCAAUAUUGUUAUUAUAUAAGCCAAUGUGAUUCAGAUUCAACACAAUACCUAUAAAAACCCCUAUUGGUUUUUGUUAAAGAAACAAAAAGCAGGCUGGGAAAAGUGACUCACGUCUGUUGGCCAGGCUGAUCUCAAACUCAUGACCUCAAGUGAUCUAUCCACCUUGGGCUCCUAAAGUGCUGGAUUUACAGGCGUGAGCCACACGCCUGGCCCAAUCCUCUUAACAUAAACACUUUAAUGUCAAUUAAUGCUUCAACUGAAUGUUUUAAGUCAACUCAAACUCAAGUCAAUUCUGAAUUGACUCUACUGUCAAUCCUUGAUGGUUUGCUGUGCUCACCGCAUUUGUAACUAUUACCUCAAAAAUGAACGUUAUGAUAUUCUGCAAGGAGUAACCUCGGACUGAAGACCUUGCCACACAUAGGACGUUUGUAAGAUUUCUGUCCAGUAUGGAUCCUCUGAUAUCUAAUGUGGUGUGAACGUGAAGUAAAGGCUUUGCUCACAAUCAUCACACUUGUGAGGUUUCUCUCCUGUAUGAAUUCUCCCGUUUUGCAAAAGAUGAAGCUUGACUGAAGACCUUGCCACAAUCAUCACAUUUGUAAGAUUUCUCUCCUGUAUAAGAUCGCCAAUGAACUGCAAGUUAUGAAUGAUGUCUGAAAAACUUGCCACAUUUAUUACACUUGUAAGACCUCCUUCAUUAUGGAUUCUCCAAUGUUUUGCAAUGGCUGUAAUAUUACUGAAGACUUUGUGACAAUCAUUACAUUAGUCAAGUUUCCCUAC